rnacentral:rRNA from 1 species
UACAGAGGUCCCAAGCGUUGUUCGGAUUCACUGGGCGUAAAGGGUGCGCAGGUGGCUUGGUAAGUUUGAUGUGAAAGCUCAGGGCUCAACCCUGAAAUGGCAUUGAAUACUAUCGGGCUUGAGGUUGGAGGGGGGGGACUGGAAUUCUCGGUGUAGCAGUGAAAUGCGUAGAUAUUGGGAGGAACACCAGUGGCGAAGGCGGCUCACUGGACCGGUACUGACGCUGAGGCGCGAAAGCGUGGGAGCAACAGGA